rnacentral:rRNA from 1 species
UACGGGGGGGGCAAGCGUUGUUCGGAAUUACUGGGCGUAAAGGGCUCGUAGGCGGCCAACUAAGUCAGACGUGAAAUCCCUCGGCUUAACCGGGGAACUGCGUCUGAUACUGGAUGGCUUGAGUGUGGGAGAGGGAUGCGGAAUUCCAGGUGUAGCGGUGAAAUGACGUAGAUAUCUGGAGGAACACCGGUGGCGAAGGCGGCAUCCUGGACUACUACUGACGCUGAGUGAGCGAAAGCCAGGGGAGCAAACGGGG